rnacentral:rRNA from 1 species
AAGUAAAAGUCGUAACAAGGUCUCCGUUGGUGAACCAGCGGAGGGAUCAUUACCGAGUUUACAACUCCCAAACCCCUGUGAACAUACCACUUGUUGCCUCGGCGGAUCAGCCCGCUCCCGGUAAAACGGGACGGCCCGCCAGAGGACCCCUAAACUCUGUUUCUAUAUGUAACUUCUGAGUAAAACCAUAAAUAAAUCAAAACUUUCAACAACGGAUCUCUUGGUUCUGGCAUCGAUGAAGAACGCAGCAAAAUGCGAUAAGUAAUGUGAAUUGCAGAAUUCAGUGAAUCAUCGAAUCUUUGAACGCACAUUGCGCCCGCCAGUAUUCUGGCGGGCAUGCCUGUUCGAGCGUCAUUUCAACCCUCAAGCACAGCUUGGUGUUGGGACUCGCGUUAAUUCGCGUUCCUCAAAUUGAUUGGCGGUCACGUCGAGCUUCCAUAGCGUAGUAGUAAAACCCUCGUUACUGGUAAUCGUCGCGGCCACGCCGUUAAACCCCAACUUCUGAAUGUUGACCUCGGAUCAGGUAGGAAUACCCGCUGAACUUAAGCA